rnacentral:rRNA from 1 species
GACGAACGCUGGCGGCGUGCUUAACACAUGCAAGUCGAACGGAAAGGCCCUGCUUUUGUGGGGUGCUCGAGUGGCGAACGGGUGAGUAACACGUGAGUAACCUGCCCUUGACUUUGUGAUAACUUCAGGAGACUGGGGCUAAUACCGGAUAGGAGCUCCUGCUGCAUGGUGGGGGUUGGAAAGUUUCGGCGGUUGGGGAUGGACUCGCGUCUUAUCAGCUUGUUGGUGGGGUAGUGGCUUACCAAGGCUUUGACGGGUAGCCGGCCUGAGAGGGUGACCGGCCACAUUGGGACUGAGAUACGGCCCAGACUCCUACGGGAGGCAGCAGUGGGGAAUAUUGCACAAUGGGCGGAAGCCUGAUGCAGCAACGCCGCGUGCGGGAUGACGGCCUUCGGGUUGUAAACCGCUUUCGCCUGUGACGAAGCGUGAGUGACGGUAAUGGGUAAAGAAGCACCGGCUAACUACGUG